UUCCCUGUGGCUCAGUUGGUAGAGCAUGGUGUGUGCAACGCCAGGGUUGUGGGUUCGAUUCCCACGGGGAGG
rnacentral:tRNA from 1 species